AGGGUUGUGUCCACCAUGGCCUGGACUCCUCUCCUCCUUGUGCUCCUCUCUUACUGCACAGGUUCCCUCUCCCAGCCUGUGGUGACCCAGUUGCCCUCCCUCUCUGCAUCUCUGGGAUCCUCUGUGAGACUCCCCUGCACCCUCAGCAGUGGCUUCAGUGUUGGCAGCUAUACCAUAUACUGGUACCAGCAGAAGCCAGGGAGCCCUCCCCAGUAUCUCCUAUACUACUACUCAGACUCAAGCAAGCACCAGGGCUCCGGGGUCCCCAACCACUUCUCUGGAUCCAAAGACACCUCGGCCAAUGCAGGCCUUUUGCUCAUCUCUGGGCUCCAGGCUGAAGAUGAGGCUGACUAUUACUGUGCCAUCUGGCACAGUGGUGCUGCUCACAGUCACACAGGCCAAUGGGGAAGUUCCCUCUCUCAGCCUGUGGUGACUCAGCUGCCCUCCCUCUCUGCAUCUCUGGGAACAACAGCCAGACUCUCCUACACCCUGAGCAGUGGUGUCAAUGUUGGUGGCAAAAACAUAUACUGGAUCCAGCAGAAGCCAGGAGGUGCCCCCCAGCUUUUUCUCUACUACUACUCAGACUCAGAUAAGAAGCUGGGACAAAGUCCCCUGCUCCUGGCCAAGCCUUUCUGA